UACGGGGGGGGCAAGCGUUGUUCGGAAUUACUGGGCGUAAAGGGCUCGUAGGCGGCCAACUAAGUCGGAUGUGAAAUCCCCAGGCUCAACCUGGGAACUGCAUCCGAUACUGGAUGGCUUGAAUUCGGGAGAGGGAUGCAGAAUUCCAGGUGUAGCGGUGAAAUGCGUAGAUAUCUGGAGGAACACCGGUGGCGAAGGCGGCUCACUGGGCCGGACCUGACGCUGAGGCGCGAAAGCGUGGGGAGCGAUCCGG
rnacentral:rRNA from 1 species